AUGAACGCUGGCGGCGUGCCUAAUACAUGCAAGUCGAGCGAACAGACGAGGAGCUUGCUCCUCUGACGUUAGCGGCGGACGGGUGAGUAACACGUGGAUAACCUACCUAUAAGACUGGGAUAACUUCGGGAAACCGGAGCUAAUACCGGAUAAUAUAUUGAACCGCAUGGUUCAAUAGUGAAAGACGGUUUUGCUGUCACUUAUAGAUGGAUCCGCGCCGCAUUAGCUAGUUGGUAAGGUAACGGCUUACCAAGGCAACGAUGCGUAGCCGACCUGAGAGGGUGAUCGGCCACCCUGGAACUGAGACACGGUCCAGACUCCUACGGGAGGCAGCAGUAGGGAAUCUUCCGCAAUGGGCGAAAGCCUGACGGAGCAACGCCGCGUGAGUGAUGAAGUUCUUCGGAUCGUAAAACUCUGUUAUUAGGGAAGAACAAAUGUGUAAGUAACUAUGCACGUCUUGACGGUACCUAAUCAGAAAGCCACGGCUAACUACGUG
rnacentral:rRNA from 1 species